UACGUAGGGGGCUAGCGUUGUCCGGAAUCAUUGGGCGUAAAGCGCGUGUAGGCGGUCCGGCAAGUCCGCUGUGAAAGUCGGGGGCUCAACCCUCGGAUGCCGGUGGAUACUGUCGGGCUUGAGUACGGAAGAGGCGAGUGGAAUUCCUGGUGUAGCGGUGAAAUGCGCAGAUAUCAGGAGGAACACCAAUGGCGAAGGCAGCUCGCUGGGACGUUACUGACGCUGAGACGCGAAAGCGUGGGGAGCAAACAGG
rnacentral:rRNA from 1 species